rnacentral:rRNA from 1 species
AUUGAACGCUGGCGGCGUGCUUAACACAUGCAAGUCGAACGAAGUGGCGAACGGGUGAGUAAUACGUGGGUAACCUGCCCUCCUUUUUGGGAUAAGCCUUGGAAACGGGGUCUAAUACCGAAUAAAGGGGGAUGGGCUCGCGGCCUAUCAGCUUGUGGGUGGGGUGAUGGCCUACCAAGGCGGUGACGGGUAGCCGGCCUGAGAGGUGAACCGGCCACAUUGGGACUGAGUAAGGGCCCAGCUUCCUACGGGGGGAAGCAGGGGGGGAUGUUGCACAAGGGGGGAAAGCCUAAUGCGGGGAAGCCGCGGGGGGGAGGAAGGCUUGCGGGUUGUAAACCUGUUUCGAUAUCGAACGGGUAGGUGGAGAGGAGGAGCCGGUAAACUACGUGCCAGCAGCCGCGGUAAUAC